AGUGUGGUAAGAAGCAUUUUGUCAUUGCUCCUCCCGACUACCUAGUGUACGUCAUUUUGGAAUGCAACCUCAAUUGCAAAAGAUAAAAUUAAGGUAAAAGCAAUGGAAGGCGGCAGUAGUGCCAAACACAAAGCAAAUUGUAAUGCAGAAUGAACAAACGGGUUCAAGAACCGUGACCUGAAGGGCGCCUCCGGUUUCUGGUGGCUGCAAAAUGGCUGAUGCGUCUAUUAUCCACUUCAAUCCAACCCUCGUAUAUUAUUCCAGAGACAUGUUUAGCCAUCCACAUUGUUAUUAAGCACGAGUUCUUCAAGCUGAAAACCCUUAAUGUUUAGAGUCGACAGACUUUAAAGCCAAGAGUGUUCGAACGGGAAUCAGCCUUUAGGGAGAGACAAGUUAAAUAAAUAUUCUGGAAUAGAAAAUACAACCUAAAUUCAAGCAGACGUCAUGAGAAUGAAUUUACUCCUGCCUGAAUUAACCAUUUGGAGAUUAGAAGUUUCCACAACUUCCCUAGAUUCCUGAAUAUCCGGCAAGAGGCUUUACCUGAUAUUGAAAUCCGAG